rnacentral:rRNA from 1 species
CCUUACCAGGUCUUGACAUCCCUUGCCAAUCCUAGAAAUAGGACGUUCCCUUCGGGGACAAGGUGACAGGUGGUGCAUGGUUGUCGUCAGCUCGUGUCGUGAGAUGUUGGGUUAAGUCCCGCAACGAGCGCAACCCUUAUUAUUAGUUGCCAGCAUUCAGUUGGGCACUCUAGUGAGACUGCCGGUGACAAACCGGAGGAAGGUGGGGAUGACGUCAAAUCAUCAUGCCCCUUAUGACCUGGGCUACACACGUGCUACAAUGGCAUAUACAACGAGUCGCCAACCCGCGAGGGUGCGCUAAUCUCUUAAAGUAUGUCUCAGUUCGGAUUGUAGGCUGCAACUCGCCUACAUGAAGUCGGAAUCGCUAGUAAUCGCGGAUCAGCACGCCGCGGUGAAUACGUUCCCGGGUCUUGUACACACCGCCCGUCACACCAUGAGAGUUUGUAACACCCAAAGACGGUGGGGUAACCUUUUAGGAGCCAGCCGUCUAAGGUGGGACAGAUGAUUAGGGUGAAGUCGUAACAAGGUAGGCGUAGACGU